AACGAACACUGGCGGCGUGCCUUAAGCAUGCAAGUCGAGCGGUGCCAGAGAUUAUCUGGUAUAGCGGCGCACGGGUGAGUAACGCGUGGUUAGCCGACCCGAAGACGGGAAUAGCCUCAAGAAAUUGGGGGGUAAUGCCCGGUAAUCCCUAAGGGGGAAAGCAGCAAUGCGCUUUGGGAGGUGACUGCGUCCCAUCAGGUAGUUGGGGGGGUAACGGCCCACCAAGCCAAUGACGGGUAGCCGGCCUGAGAGGGUGUACGGCCACACUGGAACUGAGACACGGUCCAGACUCCUACGGGAGGCAGCAGCUAGGAAUUUUCCGCAAUGGGCGAAAGCCUGACGGAGCGACGCCGCGUAAGGGAAGAAGGCUCUACGGAGUUGUAAACCUUUUUUAACAGGGAAGAGACAGGACGGUACCUGUGGAAUAAGCCCCGGCAAACUACGUG
rnacentral:rRNA from 1 species